UCCAGGGUCCUGCAUUACAUUAAAUGUGUCCUCUGAUUUCUGACUGUUCCACAGUCUUUGUCUCUCAUGACCUUGGCACUUUUGAAGUGUACUCCUCAGGCGAGUGGGUGGUCACAGAAGAUGGCUGCUGCUUGAGGCCAAGGACCCAGAUCUGCUCCACCACACACUUGCUGAGAUAAUGACCCUUCUUAUCAGCACAGCUGGAAUAGACACAAAUGGCAUAAAGAAAGGAGAGGAAGAGGGAUUUGGAUUGGUCAUCAGGUCACCAUCCCCAGCCAUCUGCCAUUACCUGUUGAUCAAAACACCUGAAGAGAAUGAAAACUUCCUGUGCAAGAAUUGCUUCUGGUGGAGGUAUUGGAAUGAAUGGCCGUCAUCGAGAUAUAGUUCACCCAUGGCCGAACCCUGGAGAGUGAAUCA